rnacentral:rRNA from 1 species
AGCGUAGACGGUGUGGCAAGUCUGAUGUGAAAGGCAUGGGCUCAACCUGUGGAUUGCAUUGGAAACUGUCAUACUUGAGUGCCGGAGGGGUAAGCGGAAUUCCUAGUGUAGCGGUGAAAUGCGUAGAUAUUAGGAGGAACACCAGUGGCGAAGGCGGCUUACUGGACGGUAACUGACGUUGAGGCUCGAAAGCGUGGGAGCAAACA